rnacentral:lncRNA from 1 species
GCCCGAUUUUUGCGCCGAGUGCCAUUCCUUGUUCUCUGACUCCGGAUGAACUUCUACUGAUAAAGGUUCAGUAUGGAGUUCCUCUGGAGUAUGAUCUGGAGCUUCCUGAUCCCUCCGACCGGGCUAGCACCCCCCCACCUGGUCGUUUCUACCUGUAUCAGGAGGACUUCCGUGUCGGACUCCGACUUCUGCUUCCGCCCUUCGUUGUCGCCCUUUUCCAUUUUUAGACAUUUCUUUAGCUUCAGUU